GACGAACGCUGGCGGCGUGCUUAACACAUGCAAGUCGAACGGAAAGGCCCCCUUGUGGGGUACUCGAGUGGCGAACGGGUGAGUAACACGUGAGUAACCUACCCUUGACUUUGGGAUAACUUCAGGAAGCUGGGGCUAAUACCGGAUAGGAGCUCCUGCUGCAUGGUGGGGGUUGGAAAGUUUUGGCGGUUGGGGAUGGACUCGCGGCUUAUCAGCUUGUUGGUGGGGUAGUGGCUCACCAAGGCUUUGACGGGUAGCCGGCCUGAGAGGGUGACCGGCCACAUUGGGACUGAGAUACGGCCCAGACUCCUACGGGAGGCAGCAGUGGGGAAUAUUGCACAAUGGGCGGAAGCCUGAUGCAGCAACGCCGCGUGCGGGAUGACGGCCUUCGGGUUGUAAACCGCUUUCGCCUGUGACGAAGCGUGAGUGACGGUAAUGGGUAAAGAAGCACCGGCUAACUACGUG
rnacentral:rRNA from 1 species